ACGAACGCUGGCGGCGUGCCUAAUACAUGCAAGUCGAACGAAACUUUCUUACACCGAAUGCUUGCAUUCACCGUAAGAAGUUGAGUGGCGGACGGGUGAGUAACACGUGGGUAACCUGCCUAAAAGAAGGGGAUAACACUUGGAAACAGGUGCUAAUACCGUAUAUCUCUAAGGAUCGCAUGAUCCUUAGACGAAAGAUGGUUCUGCUAUCGCUUUUAGAUGGACCCGCGGCGUAUUAACUAGUUGGUGGGGUAACGGCCUACCAAGGUGAUGAUACGUAGCCGAACUGAGAGGUUGAUCGGCCACAUUGGGACUGAGACACGGCCCAAACUCCUACGGGAGGCAGCAGUAGGGAAUCUUCCACAAUGGACGCAAGUCUGAUGGAGCAACGCCGCGUGAGUGAAGAAGGUCUUCGGAUCGUAAAACUCUGUUGUUAGAGAAGAACACGAGUGAGAGUAACUGUUCAUUCGAUGACGGUAUCUAACCAGCAAGUCACGGCUAACUACGUGCCAGCAGCCGCGGUAAUACGUAGGUGGCAAGCGUUGUCCGGAUUUAUUGGGCGUAAAGGGAACGCAGGCGGUCUUUUAAGUCUGAUGUGAAAGCCUUCGGCUUAACCGGAGUAGUGCAUUGGAAACUGGAAGACUUGAGUGCAGAAGAGGAGAGUGGAACUCCAUGUGUAGCGGUGAAAUGCGUAGAUAUAUGGAAGAACACCAGUGGCGAAAGCGGCUCUCUGGUCUGUAACUGACGCUGAGGUUCGAAAGCGUGGGUAGCAAACAGGAUUAGAUACCCUGGUAGUCCACGCCGUAAACGAUGAAUGCUAGGUGUUGGAGGGUUUCCGCCCUUCAGUGCCGCAGCUAACGCAAUAAGCAUUCCGCCUGGGGAGUACGACCGCAAGGUUGAAACUCAAAGGAAUUGACGGGGGCCCGCACAAGCGGAGGAACAUGUGGUUUAAUUCGAUGAUACGCGAGGAACCUUACCCGGGCUCAAACGCACGACGGCGGCACGUGAAAGCGUGCUUACCUACGGGACGUUGUGCGAGGUGCUGCAUGGUUGUCGUCAGCUCGUGUCGUGAGAUGUUGGGUUAAGUCCCGCAACGAGCGCAACCCUUGUUGUCAGUUGCCAGCAUUAAGUUGGGCACUCUGGCGAGACUGCCGGUGACAAACCGGAGGAAGGUGGGGACGACGUCAAGUCAUCAUGCCCCUUAUGACCUGGGCUACACACGUGCUACAAUGGACGGUACAACGAGUCGCAAGACCGCGAGGUUUAGCUAAUCUCUUAAAGCCGUUCUCAGUUCGGAUUGUAGGCUGCAACUCGCCUACAUGAAGUCGGAAUCGCUAGUAAUCGCGAAUCAGCAUGUCGCGGUGAAUACGUUCCCGGGCCUUGUACACACCGCCCGUCACACCAUGAGAGUUUGUAACACCCAAAGCCGGUGGGGUAACCGCAAGGAGCCAGCCGUCUAAGGUGGGACAGAUGAUUGGGGUG
rnacentral:rRNA from 1 species